rnacentral:lncRNA from 1 species
UUUUGUCAAUUAAACAAUGAAUUACCGACCGCCGUUUCUACAAAUCAAAAUAGAAAUUAUUAUUUGUAUACGUGUUCAUGAACCAUUUUCCAAUAAAAUCCUUAAUAUUUGCAUAUUUAGUCCGACAAAGUAGAUAAUAUAUGUAUCGUCUGUUCAUGAGGAGUUGGUAUUUUUCAUAAUACGACUUGAUUAAUUUACUUGUGUUUUU